rnacentral:rRNA from 1 species
GACGAACGCUGGCGGCGCGCUUAACACAUGCAAGUCGAACGGAAAGGCCUGCUUUCCCUUGUGGAUUGCGGGUACUCGAGUGGCGAACGGGUGAGUAACACGUGAGUGAUCUGCCCCCAACUUGGGUAUAAGCCUGGGAAACUGGGUCUAAUUCCCGAUAGGACUGCAGGGUGGUGCCUGUGGUGGAAAACGAUUUUCUAGUGGUUGGGGAUGAGCUCGCGGCCUAUCAGCUUGUUGGUGGGGUAAUGGCCUACCAAGGCGGCGACGGGUAGCCGGCCUACGAGGGUGGACGGCCACAUUGGGACUGAGAUACGGCCCAGACUCCUACGGGAGGCAGCAGUGGGGAAUAUUGCACAAUGGGCGGAAGCCUGAUGCAGCGACGCCGCGUGGGGGAUGACGGCCUUCGGGUUGUAAACUCCUUUCGACCGCGAGGAAGCCACCUGGUUGGAAGGGUGGUGACGGUAGUGGUAGAAGAAGCACCGGCUAACUACGUG